GACGCGGUACGCAAUCUGGCAAAGCGGCGAAGCUAAAACCUUCGUGGUUUGUGGGUUCGACUCCUACCCGCGUCAC
rnacentral:tRNA from 1 species